CCUACGGGAGGCAGCAGUGGGGAAUUUUGGACAAUGGGCGCAAGCCUGAUCCAGCAAUGCCGCGUGAGUGAAGAAGGCCUUCGGGUUGUAAAGCUCUUUUGUCAGGGAAGAAACGGUGGGGGCUAAUAUCUCCUACUAAUGACGGUACCUGAAGAAUAAGCACCGGCUAACUACGUGCCAGCAGCCGCGGUAAUACGUAGGGUGCAAGCGUUAAUCGGAAUUACUGGGCGUAAAGCGUGCGCAGGCGGUUUUGUAAGUCUGUCGUGAAAGCCCCGGGCUCAACCUGGGAAUUGCGAUGGAGACUGCAAGGCUUGAAUCUGGCAGAGGGGGGUUAGAAUUCCACGUGUAGCAGUGAAAUGCGUAGAGAUGUGGAGGAACACCGAUGGCGAAGGCAGCCCCCUGGGUCAAGAUUGACGCUCAUGCACGAAAGCGUGGGGAGCAAACAGGAUUAGAUACCCUGGUAGUCCACGCCCUAAACGAUGUCUACUAGUUGUCGGGUUUUAAUUAACUUGGUAACGCAGCUAACGCGUAGAAGUACGACCGCCGUCGGGUAGGUACGGUCGGCGAAGAAGUUAAACGUAACGAAAGGAAGUUAGACGGCGUGAGACGUAGACCGACGGACGACGACGAGGGAGGAGG
rnacentral:rRNA from 1 species